GGGGUAAAAUUAAUAAAUAAAGAAUUAAUAAAAGAAAUUUUAAUGUUAAAAGUAUUUAAUGGGGGUUAAAGUAUUUUUAAUUGAAAAAAUUUGAAAUUUUAUAGUUAAUUAGUAUUGUGAAAGAAAUUUGAAAUAUGUUGUGAAAUAUAAAUUAAUUUAAAAGUAUAUUUUAUUUAUUGUAUCUUGUGUAUCAAAGUUUAUAAAAAAAUUUUUAUUUAUUUAAAUUUCUCGAAUUUAAAAGAGUUAAUUAAUUAAAAAAUUUAUUGUUUCAUAAAUAUUUUAAAUAAUUAAUUAGAAAUGAAAUGUUAUUCGUUUUUAAAUAUAUCUAGUUAUUUUAGAAAAAAAUUUAAUUUUUAAUUUAAAUAUAAAAUUAAUUAAUUAAUUAAUUAAUUUUAUAUUUAAAUUUAAUAUUUUAAGGGAUAAGCUUUAAUUUAAAUUUUUAUAAUAAAAAUUAUUAAUUUGAAAAUUUUAUAAUUUAUAUUGUUAAUAAAUUUUAUUUUAUUAUAAAUAAUUUCAUAAAAUUGAAAAUUUAAUUAAAAAUUUAAUUUUUUAUAAAAAAAUUUUUUUAAAUAAUAUAAAAUUAGUUAUAAUGAUAAAAUUAGUAUAAAAAUAAUAAAUUUAAAAUAUAAUUUUUUAAUAAUUAUUUUAAAGGAAUUCGACAAAAAUUUAUAUUCCCCUGUUUAUCAAAAACAUGUCUUUUUGGUUAAUAAUUUAAAGUCUAAUCUGCCCCCUGAUUUAUAUUAAAGGGCUGCAGUAUAUUGACUGUACAAAGGUAGCAUAAUCCUUAGUCUCUUAAUUGGUGACUUGUAUGAAAGAUUGGAUGAAAUAUAUAUUGUCUCUAUUAUAUUUAAUAGAAUUUAAUUUUUUAAUUAAAAAGUUAAAAUAUAUUAAAAAGACGGGAAGGCCCUAUAGAGUUUUAUAUUUAUUUAUUUUUAAAUUUUUAAUAAAUAGUUUAUUUUAAGAAAUAAGAAAGUAUUUUGUUGGGGUGAUAAAAAAAUAAAUUUAACUUUUUUUUAAUUUAUACAUAAAUAAAUGAAUUUUUGAUCCAGUAUUUUUGAUUAUAAGAAAAAAUUACCUUAGGGAUAACAGCGUAAUUUUUUUUUUUAGUUCAAAUAAAAAAAAAAGUUUGCGACCUCGAUGUUGGAUUAAGAUAAAAUUUAAAUGUAGAAGUUUAAAAUUUUGAUCUGUUCGAUCAUUAAAAUCUUACAUGAUCUGAGUUCAAACCGGUGUAAGCCAGGUUGGUUUCUAUCUUUUAAUUUUUUUAAUAUUUUAGUACGAAAGGAUCAAAUAUUAUAAUUAAAUUAAUUUAUUGAAUUUUAUUAAAUAGUUAAAAUAAAUUUUUUA
rnacentral:rRNA from 1 species